rnacentral:rRNA from 1 species
UACGGAGGGUGCGAGCGUUGUCCGGAAUCACUGGGCGUAAAGGGCGCGUAGGCGGUCCAGUAAGCGUGUGGUGAAAGCUCGGGGCUCAACCCCGAGUCGGCCAUGCGAACUGCGGGACUCGAGCCCACUAGAGGCAGGCGGAAUUCCGGGUGUAGCGGUGGAAUGCGUAGAGAUCCGGAAGAACACCGGUGGCGAAGGCGGCCUGCUGGGGUGGAGCUGACGCUGAGGCGCGACAGCGUGGGGAGCAAACAGGAUUAGAAACCCCCGUAGUCC